rnacentral:rRNA from 1 species
AUUGAACGCUGGCGGCAGGCCUAACACAUGCAAGUCGAGCGGUAGCACAGGGAGCUUGCUCCUGGGUGACGAGCGGCGGACGGGUGAGUAAUGUCUGGGAAACUGCCUGAUGGAGGGGGAUAACUACUGGAAACGGUAGCUAAUACCGCAUAACGUCUACGGACCAAAGUGGGGGACCUUCGGGCCUCAUGCCAUCAGAUGUGCCCAGAUGGGAUUAGCUAGUAGGUGGGGUAAUGGCUCACCUAGGCGACGAUCCCUAGCUGGUCUGAGAGGUGGACCAGCCACACUGGAACUGAGAAACGGUCGAGACUCCGACGGUAGGCAGCAGUGGGGAAUAUUGCACAAUGGGCGCAAGCCUGAUGCAGCCAUGCCGCGUGUGUGAAGAAGGCCUUCGGGUUGUAAAGCACUUUCAGCGAGGAGGAAGGGUAGUGUGUUAAUAGCACAUUGCAUUGACGUUACUCGCAGAAGAAGCACCGGCUAACUCCGUGCCAGCAGCCGCCGUAA